AUCACUGGAAAAAUGGUAUAAAUAGACAGAAAACCUACAGACCAACUCUAGAUAAGAUGGUAUAAAUAGACAGAAAACCUACAGACCAACUCUAGAUAAGAUGGUAUAAAUAGACAGAAAACCUACAGACCAACUCUAGAUAAGAUGGUAUAAAUAGACAGAAAACCUACAGACCAACUCUAGAUGAGAUGGUAUAAAUAGACAGAAAACCUACAGACCAACUCUAGAUGAGAUGGUAUAAAUAGACAGAAAACCUACAGACCAACUCUAGAUAAGAUGGUAUAAAUAGACAGAAAACCUACAGACCAACUCUAGAUAAGAUGAUAUAAAUAGACAGAAAACCUACAGACCAACUCUAGAUAAGAUGGUAUAAAUAGACAGAAAACCUACAGACCAACACUAGAUAAGAUGGUAUAAAUAGACAGAAAACCUACAUACCAACUCUAGAUAAGAUGGUAUAAAUAGAUAGAAAACCUACAGACCAACUCUAGAUGAGAUGGUAUAAAUAGAUAGAAAACCAACCGACCAACUCUAGAUAAGAUGGUAUAAAUAGACAUAAAACCUACUGACCAACUCUAGAUAAGAUGGUAUAAAUAGACAGAAAACCUACAGACCAACUCUAGAUAAGAUGGUAAAAAUAGACAUAAAACCCACCGACCAACUCUAGAUGAGAUGGUAUAAAUAGACAUAAAACCUACCGACCAACUCUAGAUGAGAUGGUAUAAAUAGAUAGAAAACCUACAGACCAACUCUAGAUGAGAUGGUAUAAAUAGACAGAAAACCUACAGACCAACUCUAGAUGAGAUGGUAUAAAUAGAUAGAAAACCUACAGACCAACUCUAGAUGAGAUGGUAUAAAUAGACAGAAAACCUACAGACCAACUCUAGAUAAGAUGGUAUAAAUAGACAGAAAACCUACAGACCAACUCUAGAUAAGAUGGUAUAAAUAGACAGAAAACCUACAGACCAACUCUAGAUGAGAUGGUAUAAAUAGAUAUAAAAACCUACAGACCAACUCUAGAGGAGAUGAUAUAAAUAGAUAUAAAAACCUACAGACCAACUCUAGAUGAGAUGGUAUAAAUAGAUAGAAAACCUACAGACCAACUCUAGAUGAGAUGAUAUAAAUAGACAGAAAACCUACAGACCAACUCUAGAUGAGAUGGUAUUAAUAGACAGAAAACCUACAGACCAACUCUAGAUGAGAUGGUAUAAAUAGACAGAAAACCUACAGACCAACUCUAGAUAAGAUGGUAUAAAUAGACAGAAAACCUACAGACCAACUCUAGAUAAGAUGGUAUAAAUAGACAGAAAACCUACAGACCAACUCUAGGUAAGAUGAUAUAAAUAGACAGAAAACCUACAGACCAACUCUAGAUGAGAUGGUAUAAAUAGACAGAAAACCUACAGACCAACUCUAGAUGAGAUGGUAUAAAUAGACAGAAAACCUACAGACCAACUCUAGAUAAGAUGGUAUAAAUAGACAGAAAACCUACAGACCAACUCUAGAUGAGAUGGUAUAAAUAGACAGAAAACCUACAGACCAACUCUAGAUGAGAUGGUAUAAAUAGACAGAAAACCUACAGACCAACUCUAGAUAAGAUGGUAUAAAUAGACAGAAAACCUACAGACCAACUCUAGAUGAGAUGGUAUAAAUAGACAGAAAACCUACAGACCAACUCUAGAUAAGAUGGUAUAAAUAGACAGAAAACCUACAGACCAACUCUAGAUAAGAUGGUAUAAAUAGACAGAAAACCUACAGACCAACUCUAGAUAAGAUGAUAAAAAUAGACAGAAAACCUACAGACCAACUCUAGAUAAGAUGGUAUAAAUAGACAGAAAACCUACAGACCAACUCUAGAUGAGAUGGUAUAAAUAGACAGAAAACCUACAGACCAACUCUAGAUGAGAUGGUAUAAAUAGACAGAAAACCUACAGACCAACUCUAGAUAAGAUGGUAUAAAUAGACAGAAAACCUACAGACCAACUCUAGAUAAGAUGAUAAAAAUAGACAGAAAACCUACAGACCAACUCUAGAUAAGAUGGUAUAAAUAGACAGAAAACCUACAGACCAACUCUAGAUGAGAUGGUAUAAAUAGACAGAAAACCUAUAGACCAACUCUAGAUGAGAUGGUAUAAAUAGACAGAGAACCUACAGACCAACUCUAGAUAAGAUGGUAUAAAUAGAUAGAAAACCUACAGACCAACUCUAGAUAAGAUGGUAUAAAUAGAUAGAAAACCUACAGACUGACUCUAGAUAAGAUGGUAUAAAUAGACAGAAAACCUACAGACCAACUCUAGAUGAGAUGGUAUAAAUAGACAGAAAACCUACAGACCAACUCUAGAUAAGAUGGUAUAAAUAGACAGAAAACCUACAGACCAACUCUAGAUAAGAUAGUACAAAUAGACAGAAAACCUACAGACCAACGCUAGAUAAGAUGGUAUAAAUAGACAGAAAACCUACAGACCAACUCUAGAUAAGAUGGUAUAAAUAGACAGAAAACCUACAGACCAACUCUAGAUAAGAUGGUAUAAAUAGACAGAAAACCUACAGACCAACUCUAGAUAAGAUGGUAUAAAUAGACAGAAAACAUACAGACCAACUCUAGAUAAGAUAGUAUAAAUAGACAGAAAACCUACAGACCAACUCUAGAUGAGAUGGUAUAAAUAGACAGAAAACCUACAGACCAACUCUAGAUAAGAUAGUAUAAAAAGACAGAAAACCUACAGACCAACUCUAGAUAAGAUGGUAUAAAUAGACAGAAAACCUACAGACCAACUCUAGAUGAGAUGGUAUAAAUAGACAGAAAACCUACAGACCAACUCUAGAUGAGAUGGUAUAAAUAGACAGAAAACCUACAGACCAACUCUAGAUAAGAUGGUAUAAAUAGACAGAAAACCUACAGACCAAUUCUAGAUGAGAUGGUAUAAAUAGACAGAAAACCUACCGACCAACUCUAGAUGAGAUGGUAUAAAUAGACAGAAAACCUACAGACCAACUCUAGAUAAGAUGGUAUAAAUAGACAGAAAACCUACAGACCAACUCUAGAUAAGAUGGUAUAAAUAGACAGAAAACCUACAGACCAACUCUAGAUAAGAUGGUAUAAAUAGACAGAAAACCUACAGACCAACUCUAGAUGAGAUGGUAUAAAUAGACAGAAAACCUACAGACCAACUCUAGAUGAGAUGGUAUAAAUAGACAGAAAACCUACAGACCAACUCUAGAUGAGAUGGUAUAAAUAGACAGAAAACCUACAGACCAACUCUAGAUAAGAUGGUAUAAAUAGACAGAAAACCUACAGACCAAUUCUAGAUAAGAUGGUAUAAAUAGACAGAAAACCUACCGACCAACUCUAGAUGAGAUGGUAUAAAUAGACAGAAAACCUACAGACCAACUCUAGAUAAGAUGGUAUAAAUAGACAGAAAACCUACAGACCAACUCUAGAUAAGAUGGUAUAAAUAGACAGAAAACAUACAGACCAACUCUAGAUAAGAUAGUAUAAAUAGACAGAAAACCUACAGACCAACUCUAGAUGAGAUGGUAUAAAUAGACAGAAAACCUACAGACCAACUCUAGAUGAGAUGGUAUAAAUAGACAGAAAACCUACAGACCAACUCUAGAUAAGAUGGUAUAAAUAGAUAGAAAACCUACAGACCAACUCUAGAUAAGAUGGUAUAAAUAGACAGAAAACCUACAGACCAACUCUAGAUAAGAUGGUAUAAAUAGACAGAAAACAUACAGACCAACUCUAGAUAAGAUAGUAUAAAUAGACAGAAAACCUACAGACCAACUCUAGAUGAGAUGGUAUAAAUAGACAGAAAACCUACAGACCAACUCUAGAUGAGAUGGUAUAAAUAGACAGAAAACCUACAGACCAACUCUAGAUAAGAUGGUAUAAAUAGAUAGAAAACCUACAGACCAACUCUAGAUAAGAUGGUAUAAAUAGACA